rnacentral:rRNA from 1 species
UACAGAGGGGGGCAAGCGUUGUUCGGAAUUACUGGGCGUAAAGGGCGCGUAGGCGGCCUGCUAAGUCGAACGUGAAAAUCCCCUGGGCUCAACCCAGGAACUGCGUCCGAUACUGGUUGGCUUGAAUCCGGGAGAGGGACGUGGAAUUCCAGGUGUAGCGGUGAAAAUGCGUAGAUAUCUGGAGGAACACCGGUGGCGAAGGCGACGUCCUGGACCGGCAUUGACGCUGAGGCGCGAAAGCCAGGGGAGCAAACGGG